UACAGAGACUGCAAGCGUUAUUCGGAUUCACUGGGCGUAAAGGGUGCGCAGGCGGCCGUGUGUGUGAGGCGUGAAAGCCUGGAGCUUAACUCCAGAAUUGCACCUCAAACUACACGGCUAGAGCAUUGGAGAGGGUAGCAGAAUUCACGGUGUAGCAGUGAAAUGCGUAGAUAUCGUGAGGAAUACCUGAGGCGAAGGCGGCUACCUGGACAAUUGCUGACGCUCAGGCACGAAAGCGUGGGGAGCAAAAGGG
rnacentral:rRNA from 1 species